rnacentral:rRNA from 1 species
UGCAGUCGAACGGUGAAGCAGGAGCUUGCUCUUGUGGAUCAGUGGCGAACGGGUGAGUAACACGUGAGCAACCUGCCCCGGACUCUGGGAUAAGCGCUGGAAACGGCGUCUAAUACUGGAUAUGAGACGUGAUCGCAUGGUCAACGUCUGGAAAGAUUUUUCGGUCUGGGAUGGGCUCGCGGCCUAUCAGCUUGUUGGUGAGGUAAUGGCUCACCAAGGCGUCGACGGGUAGCCGGCCUGAGAGGGUGACCGGCCACACUGGGACUGAGACACGGCCCAGACUCCUACGGGAGGCAGCAGUGGGGAAUAUUGCACAAUGGGCGAAAGCCUGAUGCAGCAACGCCGCGUGAGGGAUGACGGCCUUCGGGUUGUAAACCUCUUUUAGCAGGGAAGAAGCGAGAGUGACGGUACCUGCAGAAAAAGCGCCGGCUAACUACGUGCCAGCAGCCGCGGUAAUACGUAGGGCGCAAGCGUUAUCCGGAAUUAUUGGGCGUAAAGAGCUCGUAGGCGGUCUGUCGCGUCUGCUGUGAAAACUGGAGGCUCAACCUCCAGCCUGCAGUGGGUACGGGCAGACUAGAGUGCGGUAGGGGAGAUUGGAAUUCCUGGUGUAGCGGUGGAAUGCGCAGAUAUCAGGAGGAACACCGAUGGCGAAGGCAGAUCUCUGGGCCGUAACUGACGCUGAGGAGCGAAAGGGUGGGGAGCAAACAGGCUUAGAUACCCUGGUAGUCCACCCCGUAAACGUUGGGAACUAGUUGUGGGGUCCUUUCCACGGAUUCCGUGACGCAGCUAACGCAUUAAGUUCCCCGCCUGGGGAGUACGGCCGCAAGGCUAAAACUCAAAGGAAUUGACGGAGACCCGCACAA